UUUACGUUUGCUGUCAUUCAGUGAAGGUUUCGGGGAUGGGAGGCCAUGUCGCCGAUAGAGAGGGAGAGGGAGAGAGAGAGAGAGAGAGGGAGAGGGAUCCUGGCAUGGGUGGGUUUAGGUUUGUUGUCAUUCGACAGGAGGCCAUGCCGCUUCUGAGAUAGAGGGAGAGAGAGACGGGGACAGAGCGAGAGAGAGGGAUUUCAGGGAUUUGCAAAUCCUUCCCCUUCACACAGAAGCUCCGCAAAUCAGUAGGCCCAGCCUCUAACUCUCAUCCCCAGAUCCCCUUCAUACUGCAAAUGAAUUCCUUCCCCUUCAGUUCCUCCGCUCUCAAACCUCACUUUCUUCCUCUCACAAAUACCAACGAAGAACAUGAUCAAGGACACACGGCGCACCAACGCCUCCAUUUUCCGUCGAAACAUCACCACAGAACCACCCACUCCCUCCAUUCUGCUCAGGACACACAGGCGAUUGCCUUUCACUGUGCAGUGGCUACUGCCACUGUUCAUCGGCUUCUCCUACGAGACAGCAAGGGUAUAUCACUAUGGAAGAACUAGAGCAAGUCCUCCACGAAUAAGGCUUCCAUGAUGAAUUUUAAUCUUUCCAGGUACAACCGUAUUUCACUCCCUCUGGUCAAUCUUUGAUUUUGAGUCUUUCCGAAAGCUGCUAUCAUCUCCAAAAUCCUUAUUCUGGUAUGUAGAUAGCUGCUAGGUGCUGCAACUCACUAAGUUUGGCCACAUGCCUUCAUUGUAGCAUAUGCCCUCUGUGACAAGUAUAUAUAUUUUGGCCAUUUGAUAAUGUGAAUGAAUACGCAAGGUUUUGAUGAUACUAUGUAGUCGGGUUUGUACUUACUCUUGGGCUGCCGCUGGCAUUGGCCUUCAAUUCACCAUUAAAUGCGGAAGAGGAAGUCCACCCUGCCAUAUGGUUAGAGCCUUGGAGUUACAGGGCAUCCAGUAGCUCAGGUUGGCAUUCAGGUUGGCGAUCAGAGUAGCACAACACUACUACGCGAAAUUGGCUUUGGGAUUUGUUCUGUAAAGCCUGUUGGGUGCAAUUCAAUUUCCUCCUCCUUCCCCCUGAACGACAAAAUCGAAACCCACAACUCAAAACUCACUCAUUUGUCGCCCCUCCUUGGCUUGCCGCUUUACUCAUCUCCCGAUGGUUCUUUCUCUCCAUUCCAUUAGAUUUCGUGCGAUUGAAAAUCGGGACUUUGUGGUGGGCGGUUCAUUAACUAAGCUUUCAAGGGGAGCCCAUCAACGGUUUGCUUGCUGGGGGAAUACGGAGACUACCAGUCUGUGUGGCAAUGGAUACAUUCUUCAACAGCAGCGUGUUAUCCCGGUUAUCAUAUGCUAUUCAUUGUGAUUUGCAAGGUUUCCCAAAAUAACAACACUCAAAACAAUGGAUGAUGUAAGAAUUUGUCGCCAAGGGUUUCAGAGAAGGGUGGUUUCACAGGAAUUGAAGCUCUGGCUCUCGGUUGAGAAGCAAGAAAUUACAAUUGAAAAAGCCAUGCGUAAUAAGCGUAAAUGUAUCACCACUGUGAAAGGGCUGCAGCUUUUUGCGGAGUUCAAAGUCAAGAGGGAAAGAAAGCACAGAUUCCGGUCGACACUUGAACAGUCUGCAAUUAAAUUCAGAGAUUGUUGGGACUUCUCAGGUUGACUGCGACCUGGGUAAUCAGAAAAAAAAAAAAAAAAAAAAAGAAGUGACUUUCUGGAGGAGAGUCCGACAAUACCAAACAAAAAUCCAAAAUUGCUCUUCAACAAGUGGGUUAAUUGUAAAGUCAUUCAAUCGGUUCUUUUAUAUUCCCGGCUUUUAUUUGCAUAUGUUUUUAUUUCUCAUAUUUUCAUUUUUGUG
rnacentral:sRNA from 1 species